CUAAAUUGAAAAAUGGUUUUAUGUAUUGAGUGUGGUAGCUCAGCAAAUGAAGAUAUUUAUAAAGAAUUCUCACCACAAAUCAUCAAAUACACUGUGAUCAAUAUGUAGAUAAAUAUAUUGAAUAUGAUACUACCAUAAUAUUUUUAGAUGUUGUAUUGUUUAAGAUACAAGCUUAUCGUCACAUCUUAUUUAAUUCAACAUUUAUUAAUUAUUGGAAACUUUCA